rnacentral:rRNA from 1 species
UCUUGGUCAUUUAGAGGAAGUAAAAGUCGUAACAAGGUUUCCGUAGGUGAACCUGCGGAAGGAUCAUUAAAGAAAUUUAAUAAUUUUGAAAAUGGAUUUUUUUUUUUUUGUUUUGGCAAGAGCAUGAGAGCUUUUACUGGGCAAGAAGACAAGAGAUGGAGAGUCCAGCCGGGCCUGCGCUUAAGUGCGCGGUCUUGCUAGGCUUGUAAGUUUCUUUCUUGCUAUUCCAAACGGUGAGAGAUUUCUGUGCUUUUGUUAUAGGACAAUUAAAACCGUUUCAAUACAACACACUGUGGAGUUUUCAUAUCUUUGCAACUUUUUCUUUGGGCAUUCGAGCAAUCGGGGCCCAGAGGUAACAAACACAAACAAUUUUAUCUAUUCAUUAAAUUUUUGUCAAAAACAAGAAUUUUCGUAACUGGAAAUUUUAAAAUAUUAAAAACUUUCAACAACGGAUCUCUUGGUUCUCGCAUCGAUGAAGAACGCAGCGAAAUGCGAUACGUAAUGUGAAUUGCAGAAUUCCGUGAAUCAUCGAAUCUUUGAACGCACAUUGCGCCCCUUGGUAUUCCAGGGGGCAUGCCUGUUUGAGCGUCAUUUCCUUCUCAAACAUUCUGUUUGGUAGUGAGUGAUACUCUUUGGAGUUAACUUGAAAUUGCUGGCCUUUUCAUUGGAUGUUUUUUUUCCAAAGAGAGGUUUCUCUGCGUGCUUGAGGUAUAAUGCAAGUACGGUCGUUUUAGGUUUUACCAACUGCGGCUAAUCUUUUUUUAUACUGAGCGUAUUGGAACGUUAUCGAUAAGAAGAGAGCGUCUAGGCGAACAAUGUUCUUAAAGUUUGACCUCAAAUCAGGUAGGAGUACCCGCUGAACUUAAGCAUAUCAAUAAGCGGAG